CGGACGGGGGAGUAAUGUCUGGGAAACUGCCUGAUGGAGGGGGAUAACUACUGGAAACGGUAGCUAAUACCGCAUAACGUCGCAAGACCAAAGAGGGGGACCGUUAGGGCCUCUUGCCAUCGGAUGUGCCCAGAUGGGAUUAGCUAGUAGGUGGGGUAACGGCUCACCUAGGCGACGAUCCCUAGCUGGUCUGAGAGGAUGACCAGCCACACUGGAACUGAGACACGGUCCAG
rnacentral:rRNA from 1 species